UGUCUGGAGCUUAGGCCUGGCAAGCCCACAACUUUCCCUGUGAGAUUCAAGCGUGCUAAUGGAUACCCAGUGGACCUCUACUACCUGAUGGACCUCUCCUACUCAAUGAAUGAUGAUCUGAAAAAAGUAAAAGACCUGGGGACAGAUAUACUAAAGGCUCUUAAAGAGAUCACCCCUUAUGCAUGAAUAGGGUUUGGCUCUUUCGUGGACAAAACGGUUUUGCCAUACACAAACACCCACCCGGACAAGCUAAAGAAGCCAUGUCCAGAUGGUGAACAGUUUUACCAGGCAG